GGAAGAAUAUGAGACAUGGAAUUCUCAGCUACUAAGGGCAUCAGGAGACAAAGGAAUACAUCCAGCCUGCAGAGCUGGUGAAUGGCAGAACUGAGGUUUGAACCCAGGACUCUGCUGGCGUGUUCUUCCUACAGCACCUCACUGCCUUAAAUAUCCAAGGCCUCUGACUUGUUGCAAAGAAAGGUGAGCGGACCUUUAUGGUUGCUCUUUCCCCCAAAUGGUGGAUUCGUUACCUCUGAGCCACCAGAGAAGCCCUUCUCCGAGGCGGUCAGACCCCAAAUGCAGGCCGUGUAGGAGCAGCACUCUCACUGGGCUGUCAGGCCCUAGGAUUUGAG
ensembl:lncRNA